GCUUUCACAUCCCUAGCACAAACAUUGGGUAAACCACUACUGAUACUAAAGAAAAAGUUGAAUUCAGACCUUCCUUUGUUCAUAAUAUAUUCCACUCUAUUCUGACCUGAUCAUAUAGCAGCCUUACUGCUGUUAGUGCUUCAUUCUACUCAAUUAUUGGUGUUUUAUAAGGCAAGACAUCUAUGAAAGUUAUAUAGAGGUUGAGUAGAAUAACAGUUGCUCCAGCCCCAUGGGACCUGUUGAGAGUCGGGGGUGCUGGAGCAGCCCUUGACCACAGCAGGUCCAGCCCUGGCUCACUGCAGGUAGAGGUGCUCCAGCCCAAACAGCAUAGGCCCUGUGCUGACGUGGACUGUAUUACCUCUCCCCAUCUGCCCCAAUUAAUCAGUUAACCAGUUAACUAAUUAAACAGGAUUUUCCAUUCCUAAUUUGAACUUCAGGGCCUAUAUAUAUAUAUAUAUAUCUUCUGUUUUUUCUGAGACAUUGCUUGGCUGAAAGGCAUCAUAAUUCAAGGUGAUGGCCAUAGUGGCUAAAUCAGGCAUUGCAGGAUGCAUACUGGAGUUCAGUAAGUUCACAAAAAAAACCCUAUUGUAGUACACACUGUGGGAUCAUCUACAGUAAAUUGAAGGGAAGAGACAAAAGUCUUUUGUGGGACUGGAAGAUUUUUGUUGCCAAAAAUGGCCAUAUGCUGUUGUAAUAUGAAUGUUCAGAGGUUUUUGGCGCCAAAAUCUGUUUUUUGGCAACCAAACACAUCAGUGUAGACAAGGCCAUAAAUUAUUUGUAACCUAGGACCAGCCAAAAUUAAUCACUUGGGCAAUACAGCGCUGUCUACUGGAUACCUAGGCAGAAUACGUAUGUUCAGGGCUUGACAAACUGCUGAAUCUACUCGCCCGUGGCGAGUAGAUUUCAGCCGGUCAUUCUAAGUGCCCCAUUCACCGGCACUUUGUGCAUGCUCAUUGUGGGCUGGCAAAUGGCUCUCACCAGGGUUUGUCAAGCCCUGCAUAUGUUCAUGUACAUACGGUCUGUUCCUGAAGCUAUCACCCUUCCCUCUAUGGCUCAUCACUAGCUAUGAGGGGAGAGCUCAUUCAUACCUUGCUUACAACUGAUAAUUUGAAAUUAUUAGAUUGGACAACAUCACGGAAACAGAUGCACUGACAAUGUUGCAAAAAAGAAAAAAAAAAGCUGUGUGGAGAAGCUAGACUUUGUUCAUACAAAUAUUUUCACAUGCUUUUUCAGGAGUAGUGCUGAUAUCCUCCUUUUAUGGAUGAGGAAACUGAGGAAAAUAAAUGACACACUGGAUUUUUAACUUGGUCAGAGGACCAGUCUCAGAGUUCUUCACUGAUAUUACAAGAACUAGGGAGGAACUCACUGAAAUGAACCAGAAGCAAAUCAGAGCUCAUUUGAUCUCAGUUUAACUUGUCUAUAUUACUUACUUAAAACAAACUGAUGCAAAAGAACUCAAUACUUUUAAUGAUGAUUUGAAAAGAUUUGAUAUAUAAUAUAUGUAGAAACAAAAGCUGAGGCACGUCUUUUGUAAUUACUUACUUUGAUUUAAAAUAUACUCUAGGGGACUAGAAAUUAAAUCAGUUUCCUUCUUUAAUUUUGUUUUGUCCUCAUCUUGUGUAAAUAUUGCUUUGCUUCUCAAUGCACUGUUGACAAAAGCAUUCAAGUGGGCACCUCCAACUGCUAAAUAAUUUCACCAUGAAGAAAGUUAAAAAUGUGUACAGUAGCCUAUUUGCAUAAUAAAACAUCUGUAUGCUUUAGUAAUAUGUUUAGUGUUCUUGCUGACCUAGAAAAAAGCAAUUCUUACCCAGUGCAAAUGCAAAGAAGCUUGUUAAUUCUGGGGACAAAAGCUAUAUGAAUGAAUUUUCCUUCUUAAUACAAGUGCUAAACUAGUGCCCGUCUUUUUUUUUUAAGUAGUCACUAAACAUUGUUUGGGAUGAA